CCACCCCCCAGAUGGCUAACGUCUGAGGGCUUCACCUUCCUCCUCCCUCUCUCUGUUGGGCUUGGCCGUGGAGAUGAAGAGACGAAUACCAACCUGAACAAUGAGACUAGAGAGCUAAUCUGUUUGGGUGGCAGUGAUUUGAAACCUACGAAGCACUGUUCAAAGGCUAAGUAAGACGAUGGUGACCACGACAAUGGCAACGAUGAUGUUGAUGAUGAUGAUGAUGAUGAUGUACAUGUGGAGAAAUGAGAUCCAGCUUGCAUGGUAGAAAAAGUAGCCGACAGAAAAAUCUGAUCCUAAUGCUGUCCCUACCACCACCCAGCAAUGUGACCUUGGGCCACAUCUCACCCACCCUGUUUCUUACAAAUGAGGCAAAUUUUAUUGGGAGACAUAGUGUAUUGGGGGACAUAAUACAUCAUCACAACCCUGUUGUAAUUAGAGUGAAUGUCGGGGGGGGGGGGGGAGUGCUGAAAGGCAAAUUCUUCCCAUACAUCUCAAGGGGUUUGGAGGACACCACAAGAUGAUAGCUGGCAACUGUGAUAGCAAUGCUGAACUGGACUACACGAACACCAAAUUAUGCCCAACAGCCAUAAACUCAGGUAAGUGUAUGCAAGAACCCUUAAAACUGGGACCGGAAUGAUAGUUCAGCAGUUAGGAGCAUUUACUGUUCUUUUAGAAUUCCAUCCCCAACAACUACAGGGCUCACAGCUGCGGCUGACUCCAGUUCAAGGGUAUCUGACUCCCUCUUCUGACUUCCAUGAAUUCCUGUAUGCAUUUCACAUAAACUUAUGAAUGUACACACACACACACACACACACACACACACACACACACACACACAAAUGAUAAAUUCUAACAAACAAAAACCUUUGGGAUUUGUGGCUUCAGUUAUGUGGUGCCUGUAGCUUUCCUAUACAGCUUGUAGAGUUCCUUGCUUUCCAUCUUCUUGACAUUCACUGAGUAUCUGCUAUGUGCUAGACGUGGAGGUGAACUUGGAGGCAGCAGAGAUAGCCCUCUCUUUUCAAGAAGUGUUAUUGGAUCGCACAUUUUUACUGUGGGGGAUUCUUGCACAUUCCCAGCACCAUCCUGUAUUGAGCUUAUAUUGUUCCUCUACUAUUCUGUGAAAACAGAGAGGUUUGUGUAUCCAGCUUUGGCUUGCUUCUUCACCCCCAGCCCUCCAGCAGCUCCUGGAUGUUAAAUAUUAUCUCUCCAUGUGACUUGUAGCAGAAGGAAGAAUCAUCUGUUACUCUUUUACUUCCCUAAUGAGUCCUCAAGCUGGUUUGCAGGCCAGUGAUGGAUCUCCCACCUCCUUUGGAGAAGACUGAUGAGGGUUUGGAUUUAGCUGCUUGAUGUUAAUCUCCUGCAGGACUCAACUUUUAUUCUUCUUGUUUCUUCUUUCUGCCCCACUCCCAAAUAAAACCAAAUAACCAGGACAAACAGAAACAAUAGCUAAAAAUAGACAGUAAGGUGUGGUGGCAACACCUUGAUGGGCAGGCUGGAUGUUUCCUUUGCUACCAUGGUAACUACUAUCAAACAGCCUGCCACCCUUCUGGCUGCUCUCUGUAAAUGUGAACCUUUUUUUUUUUUAUAUAUAUAUAUAAAGUGCUCAGAUCAACUCAACUACCUAAAAUACUUUCACUACCUUUCAAGACUCUCCUUAAAUAGAUGUCUACUAAUUUCUUCAGAUAGUUUCAUAAAUGUUGAAUGCAGUAUUGAAAAAUCUCCUUAUACUUGUUGAUCUUUAUAUUCUCUGGGGUUGGCAGAAUAUGGUAAAAACAAUAAUAGAACAUUUUUUUCUGGGGCUAGAGUGAUAUCUCAAUGAGUAAAAGUGUUUGCUGUACAAGCAUGAGUUUAACCCCAACACCCUCCUAAAAAAGUCAGAAGUGGUCAUACACACUUUUUGAACCUCGUGCUGCAGGAGGUCUAGACAGGAGGAUCCCUGGAGCUUGCUUACAACCUCCUCUAGGACCAAUGAGAGACCCUGCCUUGUAGGACUAAGGCAGAAAGUGGAAGAUCAGCACACACACCGUCCUCUGGUCUCUGUAUGAGUAUAGGCAUGUUUACCCUUAUACAUACAGGAACAUACACCACACAUAUGUUCCUCCUCUCACAUACUUGCACAUGAAAAAUUUCCAUAAAAGUACUUAAUUAAAAAUCAAAGACUUAACACUUAAAGUUACUUCUAAUUAUCUGGAGAAUUAAUGCUAGAUUAACUGAGUUCUCAUUCAACAAAUCAUUGGAUACAUAUCUAUUAAAGGCUUAAAAGUGUCAUGCAUUAUAUAAAUACUGUAAAUAUAAACAAGAUUAAGAAACGGUUGCUAGGGCCGGGUGUGGUGGAAUAUACCUUUAAUCCUAGCACUCUGGAGGUACCAGUUGGAUCUCUUUCAAGUUUGAGGCCAGCCUCAUCUACAGAGCAAUAACAAUUAAUACUCAGAACAAACAAUUCCGAUUACAUCAUAAAUAUGAGAUUUCUUGUUUUCUUGUUGUUGACUGUUUUCUGGUGACUAAGAUCUUCCCCCCCCCACCCCAUGCUGGGAACCAAGCUCAGGGCCUCGCAGGCUGGGUUGGUACUCUACCAGGGGGCUACACUACCAACCUAAGAAUGGCCAUUUGGGGGUGGCAUUGCAUGUCUCCACAAUUCCUGGCUUCUUUCCCUUUUUUUUCAAGUUGCUGAGGAUUGAAUCCAGGGCCUCCAGCAUGCGAGGCAAGUGCUGGGACACUGGGCUACAUCUCCAGCCCCUGGUUUCAUCUUCUAUGCUUGGUGAUGAGCAGUUUACAAAGUGCUUUCAUGUCUGCCUCGUCGGAAACACAGGUUUUUAAAAAUCUCAUGUUCUGGACAUUGUUUCCCUUCUGUUGUGUGUGUAUGUGGAGCUAAAAAUUCCCAACGAGUGCUAUUAUAAUGGUAGUGUCCUCUGCUGUACACCUGAGGUGGUUAUUUGGUCUGGGGCUCCUCAACCAUCAAAGCCUUUAGGUCAUAAUCUCAGAAAUGCAUUCUUACUUCAUUUUUGCUUUAUGGUUUCCCUUCUUUCAAUUGCUGUUCAUUCACAUUCAAUGCCUCCUUUUUAUGGGAGUGUUAAUAAUGGGUGAGAACCAUUAAGAAGGUGGUCAAAGAGGUGGCAGUACUAGGUUUCAACCUGUGACCUAUACUCUUUGA